rnacentral:rRNA from 1 species
GACGAAGGGGGCUAGCGUUGUUCGGAAUUACUGGGCGUAAAGGGCUCGUAGGUGGCCAACUAAGUCAGACGUGAAAUCCCUCGGCUUAACCGGGGAACUGCGUCUGAUACUGGAUGGCUUGAGUUUGGGAGAGGGACGCGGAAUUCCAGGUGUAGCGGUGAAAUUCGUAGAUAUUCGGAAGAACACCAGUGGCGAAGGCGGCUCACUGGACCGGUAUUGACGCUGAGGUGCGAAAGCGUGGGGAGCAAACAGG